rnacentral:rRNA from 1 species
AGUGAACGCUGGCGGCAGGCCUAACACAUGCAAGUCGAGCGGCAGCGGGUCGUAGCAAUACGAUGCCGGCGAGCGGCGGACGGGUGAGGAACACAUCGGAAUCUACCCAGUCGUGGGGAUAACGUAGGGAAACUUACGCUAAUACCGCAUACGACCUGAGGGUGAAAGCAGGGGACCGCAAGGCCUUGCGCGAUUGGAUGAGCCGAUGUCGGGUUAGCUAGUUGGUGGGGUAAAGGCCCACCAAGGCGACGAUCCGUAGCUGGUCUGAGAGGAUGAUCAGCCACACUGGAACUGAGACACGGUCCAGACUCCUACGGGAGGCAGCAGUGGGGAAUAUUGGACAAUGGGCGCAAGCCUGAUCCAGCCAUGCCGCGUGUGUGAAGAAGGCCUCGGUUGUAAGCACUUUGUGGGUAAGAAAACCUGUUGGUUAAUACCGGCGGGAAUGACGGUACCUAUGAAUAAGCACCGGCUAACUUCGUG